rnacentral:rRNA from 1 species
CCUACGGGAGGCAGCAGUGAGGAAUAUUGGUCAAUGGGCGCGAGCCUGAACCAGCCAAGCAGCGUGAAGGAUGACUGCCCUACGGGUUGUAAACUUCUUUUAUAAAGGAAUAAAGUGAGGCACGUGUGCCUUUUUGAAUGUACCUUAUGAAUAAGGAUCGGCUAACUCCGUGCCAGCAGCCGCGGUAAUACGGAGGAUCCGAGCGUUAUCCGGAUUUAUUGGGUUUAAAGGGUGCGUAGGUGGGUUGUUAAGUCAGUUGUGAAAGUUUGGGGCUCAACCGUAAGAUUGCAAUUGAUACUGGCAGUCUUGAGUACAGGUGAGGUAGGCGGAAUGCGUGGUGUAGCGGUGAAAUGCAUAGAUAUCACGAAGAACUCCGAUUGCGAAGGCAGCUUACUAAACUAUAACUGACACUGAGGCACGAAAGCGUGGGGAUCAAACAGGAUUAGAUACCCGAGUAGUC